AUAAGGAAGAUGCAAAACGGUUCCUUUCAGAUUUGCACAGACCGUAUUUUGGAGACCUCCCUGUGGGUCACCAUGAUCGUUUGAAAUCCAGGCAAUCGUCAUAGAAAUUGGAAGUGUUGCAUGGAAGACUAAAGUUUCAAUGAACUGACACCGUUAUUAAUACAACAACCAACGGAAAAGGUUACUGCUAACUGAAACCGAGGCCAAUUUUUUUCCUCAAGGUUGCCCCUUUUUAAUUUUCAGGCUUUCUACAAAGGUGGAGGAAGAGGAGGAACAUGUCACAAUGUCAAAGUCAACAGGAUAGUGAGGUGCCAGGUAGUGGAGCAGAAGUAGGAGGACCAGGACCAGAGAACAGUAAAAGCAGCCCCAAAAAGAUUUUGAACAUUGUCUUACUGGGACAGGCAGGCACCGGAAAGAGUGCAAGUGGCAACACAAUCCUGGGGAAAGACAUUUUUAAAUCAUGUCUAAGCUCUGUACCAGUCACCAGAGAGUGCCAGGACGAUAAUAAGCAGUUUUCAAGAGUAAAAGUUAGAGUCAUUGAUACCCCUGACUUCUUUGAUGAAUAUGUUAAAAAAGAUGAAGAGCUGACACGUUGCAGUAAUUACUGUGAGACUGGGAUUUGUGUGUACUUGUUGGUGAUUAAAAUUGGCCGAUUCACAGAGGGCCAGAGAGGGACUUUGAAUGAAUUGGAAAAAGCCUUUAAGAUGAAAGGCAAAGAUAAAACUAUUGUCCUCUUUACUCAUGGAGAGGACCUGAAAAACAUGAACAUAGACAUGUUUAUCCAGUCAGACCCUCAUCUUAAACAGAUAGUUGAGCUCUGUGGGAACAGGUACCAUGUGUUCAGAAACACUGACAAAAACCGUCAUCAGGUGAUGGGGCUGAUGGGGAAGAUUUCUGGAUUGCUGGGCAUUGAUCAAAUGUUCCCUGAUUCGAAGGGGUGGCUCACUGCUAUACAGAAGUGGAUACCGUGGAUACCUCAGAGGGAAACAAGCAAUGCUCAAUAGAAGUGCACAAUGACUUAAGAUUUAUGGAAAAUAUGAGAGUGCUACCAAUAAAUGUUUUAGGUUACUGGAUUAUUGUGUCUUAAAAAGAAGAUCAUUGUAUGAAAAAUCUCAAAUGUUAUAAAUUGAUUUAUUGUGUACACUGAUUGUAAAUGGAUUAAACUUCUUUCGGAAAACUUGUGCUAUUUAAUUUUCCAGUUAUAUGAAUGUGAUUUUUUUUCUAGAUUCCUGUUGUUUUCACUGUAUAUAGCCACUGACAGAUAUUGAGAUGUAUGCUUAGUUUUCUUAUUUGACCUGAGAUGUUCACAUUGUGACUUUGAUUGCUCUUGUUUGUUUUUUUUAUCUGAAAUUGUGUUUUUGGUGUAAGAAAACAACAUUAUUGUGCUCUAGGAAUCAAGUCAAUGUUGAUAGUGGAAACAACAAGAUACUCACUAAUGACUUACAUUCAUGCCCUGCUGAUAAAUUACACAAGAAUUAGCCACAUUUGUUAGAGAAGGAAAUAAAAUGCUGACAUUCAUUGUAAAUAUGACGUUUCAUGGUAAGCCAGAGGAAACAGUGACACUGUCCAGAAAUCUCUUAUGUCCCUCACAUUAAAAAACGAUUUCACUUUUUUUUUCAACUAUUUUUGGAACACUUCACAUGAUCACGUUUUCACACGGGUAGUUUCAUGCUAUCACAUGUUGCUUUACAUGUUGUUACAUGUUGUUAUCACAUGAAAACAUGUAUUAUGUUACGGUGUGUGAAGCAGACAUGCAAAUAAUGUGUAUGACACUUGAUCAUAUUAAAAUCUUCGAUAGCAACAUA